rnacentral:rRNA from 1 species
UACGGAGGGUGCAAGCGUUAUCCGGAUUUACUGGGUUUAAAGGGUGUGUAGGCGGACUAUUAAGUCAGCGGUGAAAUCUCCGGGCUCAACCCGGAAACUGCCAUUGAUACUAUUAGUCUUGAAUGUUGUUGAGGUGGGCGGAACGGGUCAUGUAGCGGUGAAAUGACAUAGAUAUGACCCGGAACACCGAUUGCGAAGGCAGCUCACAAAACUAGUAACUGAACGCUGAGGCACGAAAGCCGUGGGGAAUCAAACAGGAGUUG